rnacentral:rRNA from 1 species
AAUGAACGCUGGCGGCAGGCCUAACACAUGCAAGUCGAACGGAUCCUUCGGGAUUAGUGGCGGACGGGUGAGUAACGCGUGGGAACAUACCCAAAGGUACGGAAUAGCCUCGGGAAACUGGGAGUAAUACCGUAGGUGCUCGAAAUAGGAAAGAUUUAUCGCCUUUGGAUUGGCCCGCGUCGGAUUAGGUAGUGGGUGGGGUAAUGGCCUACCAAGCCGACGAUCCAUAGCUGGUGUGAGAAGAUGAUCAGCCAAAACGGGACGGAGACACGGCCCAGACUCCUACGGGAGGCAGCAGUGGGGAAUCUUAGACAAUGGGGGAAACACUGAUCUAGCCAUGCCGCGUGAUCGAUGAAGGCCUUAGGGUUGUAAAGAUCUUUCAGGUGGGAAGAUAAUGACUGUACCACCAGAAGAAGCCCCGGCUAACUCCGUGCCAGCCGCCGCAGUAA